CGCGAAGUUCACGUGACCGCCUGGGCGCAGAUGUGGGCACCAGUCCGGGUGUCCGCCCUGCCUCCCCGCGGUCCGACCCGGAGCUGUCUGCGAGCUCUUAAUUGUUGCUCCAGGUUCUUUCAGGUCUGCGUGUCUGCUGUUGUCAGCACUCUGCUAGACUAGAAAAGGAGGAGAAACCUGUCCAGAAUUCCCGCAGGACAGGGUAAGGAGGGGAAAUCUCAACAUGGAAAAACUCUGCACUGAAAAUGAAGAAAUGCCUGAGAACCAAGGAAAGAUGGAAAACAAAGAACAGCCACUCGAUAUGGGAAAGCCGGAAGUAGCUUGUAGUCUGGAAGACAAGGAGAAGUUAGAAAACGAGGGAAAGACAGAUCACGAGGGAAAGACAGAAGAUGAGGAAGUACUAAAUGAUAAGGAGAAGCCAGAGAGUGAGGCAAAGCCAGAAGAAGGAGAAAAAGCAGAGAGCCAUGGAAAGCCAGAAAACCAGGGAAAGCCAGUGAGCCAGGGAAAGCCAAAAGAAGAAGGAAAACCAGAGACCCAGGGAAAUCCAGAGAGCCAGGGAAAGCCAAAAGAAGAAGAAAAGCCAGCCAGCGAACCAAAGGCUGCAGGAAAGCGCCCAGCUGGGGAUGAUGUACCCAGGAAAGCCAAGAGAAAAACCAACAAGGGGCUGGCUCAGUGCCUCAAGGAAUAUAAGGAGGCCAUACACGAUAUGCAUUUGAGCAAUGAGGAGAUGAUAAGAGAAUUUGAUGAGAUGGCUAGGGUGGAGGAUGAGGUGAAGAAAACCAGACAGAAAUUGGGGGGGUUUAUGUGGAUGCAAAAAAGCUUACAGGACCCCUUCCACCCGAGGGGCCCAAGGGAACUCAGGGGUGGUUGCAGGGCGCCACAAAGGGGCUUUGAAGACAUUCCUUUUGUGUAGUGCCCUGGCCUCCAUGGGCCAGGCCCUGUGCUUUAACCUUAGGCUAAUACUUUACUUUAGGUGUCAUUCUUGUUAUCCAACCGCAGCCCUCUGUGUUUCAGUAGCAGAUUUUCAUCCGUUGCAUGGAAAAAUGUUUAUAGUGCAUUAUAAAAUUAAAAAGAAAACAGUUUGCAGCACCAUAUAUACAGCAUCAGUUCAUUUUUCUAAAUCUGCAAAGAUAUUUACCUAGUGAUCUAUGUACAGAAAAAAACUCUAAAAGCUGUGUCCACUAAAAGAUGAACAGUGGUUAUCUGUGGGUGAUUUUUUUUCCUGUUCCUUUUUUGUUCGACAUAUGUUUUCUCCUAAAAACACAGAUUACUUUUGUCAUAAAAACAAUGAAAGACAAAAAAUAGGAAAACCAUAUAUACCAAGCAAUCAAAAUAACUGUUCAGUGAGUUUAUGAAGGCAGUGGAGACACAAAGUUCUUGGUGUCAGGAUGUAAAAUGAUGCAUAAAACUCACAUUAUCUCUGGGGCUCGAAGCUGGAAGUAUGAACCUGGCAGUUAUUACAGAUCCAUUUCUCUAAGGAACAGUCUUGUCAUCUGUGAAAUGGGGAUAAAACUUGCCUUGCAAGGCUGUGGAGAAGAUCAGAUGAGGUCCUGAGUGUGUGAACUGUGUUGGGCUGGCUCCUGCCCUCUCCCCUGCACUUGCAGGACCAGAACUCCAUCAGAUGUUUGGGGGAGAGCUGAGGGAGCUCUCACCUGUGUCCAGGAAGAAAGGUGGGUGUCACUCUCCCCUGGGUAAUACCAUGACUGAUGGGCACUGUGCCUCUUCUCAUGGGCUCUGCACCCUCCUGAGGGCGCCACUGCUGCCGGUGGGCUGGAGACCACGAUGGACUAAGGCAACACUGUCUCAUCAGAAGGGUCAAGAAUUCUUCUCUACCCAAAUCAGAGUUACUCUAAGUCAGGAACUCACCCAGGUUACCACCUUACAUUUAGUCGUCAUGUCUCCCUAGGCUCCUCUUGGCUGUGACGUUUUCUGACCUUCCCUGUUUUUGACGCCCUUGACACUUUUGAGAAGUACUGGUCAGAUAUUGUGUAUAAUGUCUCACAGUUUCGAUCUGUUGAGUGUUUUUGGGAAGAGGACCACAGAGGUAAAUUUUAUCUUUAGUCUUACAGACUCCACUCAUUUCCAAAGUUACCUAUGUCAGCACCUUAUUGUCCUGUCUUUUUCAGUGAGGUUAUUUCAUAUAUUUGUAAUACACUCAGAUUCUUUAGUCACCUUCUGCAUUUUGGGGCUGCUGUUAUAAAUGGUAUUUUUAAAUUUCAAAUUCCAAUUGUUCAUUGCUGGUAUAUAGGAAAGCAAUUGACUUUUGUGUAUUGACCUUACAUCUUAUGACCUUGUGACCAAGAGUUUGUUAAUGCUUUGGCAUUUUCUACAUAGACAAUCAUGUCAUCUGCAAAUGAAGACAGUUUUAUUUCCUGCAUUUCAAUCUGUAUCUGUUUUAUUUCCUUUUUUUGUCUUAAUUGCACUCGCUAGGGCUUCCAGUAUGAUGUUUAACAGGAGCAAUGAGAAUGGAUAUCCUUGCCUUGUUCCUGAUCUUAACGUGAAGUGUCCGCUUUCUCUCACCAUUAAGUAUGAUGUUAGUCAUGGGUUUUUUAUAGAUAGUCUUUAUCAAAUUGAGGAGUUCUCCUCUAAUCUUAGUUUGAGAACUUUUAUGAAUGGGUGUUGGAUUCUGUCAAAUGUUUUUUCUGCAUCAAGUGAUAAGAUCAUAUGAUUUUUCUUCUUUAGUCUGUUCAUGUGGAUUAUAUUGAUUGAUUUUCAAGUGUUGAAUCAGCCUCGCAUAUCUAGAAUAAAUCCCACUUAUUAGGUGCACAAUUUUUUAUACACUGGAUUAAAUUUUCUAAUGUUUUGUUCAGGA